AAUAUUAAACUAUUAAAUUUGCAAAUGAUUUACAUCAUUCAUUAAAAUUACUAAUUUCAAGCCCUUUCAAUCACAAGAUAAACAGUAUUAAAAAAAUUUAAAAAUUUAUUUUUUAAAAUAUUUCAAGUAGGGGCGUUUGGAUUGACGUAUUUGUAGAUUCAACGUAAGUCAAGUGUAGUAGUGUUUGAGUUUCCCUGAAGUGUGAUUAUUUUUUUGUUGUUUGUUUUGACGUAACUCGUACCGCCUGAAAGUUAAAUUCAAUCACUUCUAUUGUUUGUUUUGAUGUAACUUAGUGCUGGUAAAAUUAGUUUUUUGAGUUCCGUUGUUUGUUUUGAUGUAAGUAAGUGGAUCUCAUUAUCUCCUAAAUAUAGUAGUAAAUUUACCACUAUAAAAUUUAAUCUAUUAUAUAAUUAAUUUUUUUAUUAUUAUUUAAAGAUAAUUCUAAUUUAUUAUAAAUAAGGUAAUUCUAACCCAUUAUAAAGGAAGUAGAGUUUAGGUUUUACUGUUUAAUAAAUUUUUUAGAGGAGGUUGAGUGUAGUGAAAGUCGAGUUCGGCACUUUAGAGGAGGAAGUCGAGAGUAGAUGAAGUGGAGCUCUAACGUAACUUGAGUUAUAUUAUAUUUUUCAUUUACAUCAAAACAAAUAACGGAAGUGAUGGAACUUGAGUUCCAUCACUCCACUUACACCAAAACAAACGGGCCCGUGGAACCUAACAAU
rnacentral:lncRNA from 1 species